rnacentral:rRNA from 1 species
CCUACGGGGGGCUGCAGUGGGGAAUAUUGGACAAUGGGGGGAACCCUGAUCCAGCCAUGCCGCGUGUGUGAAGAAGGCCCUCGGGUUGUAAAGCACUUUCAGUGAGGAAGAACGCCUGGUGGUUAAUACCCACCAGGAAAGACAUCACUCACAGAAGAAGCACCGGCUAACUCCGUGCCAGCAGCCGCGGUAAUACGGAGGGUGCGAGCGUUAAUCGGAAUUACUGGGCGUAAAGCGCGCGCAGGUGGCUUGAUAAGCCGGUUGUGAAAGCCCCGGGCUCAACCUGGGAACGGCAUCCGGAACUGUCAAGCUAGAGUGCAGGAGAGGAAGGUAGAAUUCCCGGUGUAGCGGUGAAAUGCGUAGAGAUCGGGAGGAAUACCAGUGGCGAAGGCGGCCUUCUGGACUGACACUGACACUGAGGUGCGAAAGCGUGGGUAGCAAACAGGAUUAGAUACCCGAGUAGUC